CAAUAGCAUAUAUUAACGUUGUUGCAGUUGAAAAGCUCGUAGUUGAACUUUUGGUAGGAGCGACCUGGCCUUGGGCGCAUGCCCUUGUUUGCCGUGUGUCGUGUCUGGCCAUCCUUUUCUUCUUUUUGGAAGGAAUCUUUUACUGUGAGUAAACUGGAGUGCUCAAAACAAGACGUUUGUUUGGUACAUUAAAGCAUGGAAUAAUAAGAUAGGACCUGGUUACUAUUUUGUUGGUUUGCAUAGCUAGGUAAUGAUUAACAGGGACAGUUGGGGGUAUUCGUAUUUAAUUGUCAGAGGUGAAAUUCUUGGAUUUAUGAAAGACGAACGACUGCGAAAGCAUUUACCAAGGAUGUUUUCAUUA
rnacentral:rRNA from 1 species